UGCCCAGCAACUCCUAUCCCUACCUCCACGCGGUACCGACCGGAAACUAUGAGCAACCUUAGGGAAGAUCGGGUAACCAACCCCGGUGGGAACUUCGGUCGUAGGCUGACAGGGAAGG
rfam:Aedes albopictus isolate Foshan contig73345, whole genome shotgun sequence.